UCUAAAGUUUCCAGACAAAGUAAUAACUUUGGUUUUGGAAUUUGGGAAUUAGGGUUGUUUGCAUUGUGAAGAUGAUCGAGGUGGUGUUGAACGAUCGAUUAGGAAAGAAGGUGCGCGUGAAGUGCAACGACGAUGACACCAUCGGCGAUCUGAAGAAGCUUGUGGCGGCUCAGACGGGCACCAGAGCCGACAAGAUCCGUAUCCAGAAGUGGUACACCAUCUACAAGGAUCACAUCACUCUGAAGGAUUACGAGAUUCAUGACGGCAUGGGUCUCGAACUCUACUACAACUAAACUCAAAGUGUGUUUAUACGCAUGAUACUAUGUAUUGUGAAUGGGAUAAGCUCUAAAUGUAAUUCUGACUUCCUGAAGCCCCCUUAGUUUGAAUAAUGUAUAUCCCUUACUAUGGGUGAUCGAUGUAUUGGAGCUCAUGCAGUGUUUGCUUAUGCCUUUUUGCUUUUUAAUUCUAUAAUGUUAGAACACCUGAAUCUACAUUUACGAGUUCAAUGUUAUCUAAAAUUACGUGUCUUUUUUCUAUAACUUGAAAUGCCAAAGAUUCAAAUUGAAGAUAGUAAGCCAAUGCAGUUUUAAGUAUCAUUUUUUCAUAGUAAAGGUUGUAGCCCUACAUAAGCAGUCUUUCAUUCGACGUUUUUACAUAUUCAUGGUUUUUCGUAUAGAGGUCAAAUUAACAUAUUCAUCAGACCUGAUCUUCUAAUCUUGUGACUGUUCGUGGAUAGAUGAUUCUUUGUCCUGUUCUAUUCUGGCAUUUGAAUUCGCGAAAUCUGCCAUGUGGUUAUUAAUUGCUUAAUUAAUAAGUUAACUGAUGUUUUUGAAUGCCACCAAAAGUCGGUGAUAGAGCAUUUCCGAAUGUUCAAAAGAUUGUAUGAUUAUUUCUUUUUGGAAAAGCUUAGUAUUGCAGUUUGACAGUCAUUGGCAAACACUGUAUUUGCAGUUAACAGUUCUUUGCCUAUUCUCUGGUACCCUCACGUCUCACUACAAAUGGGUAUAACAUCCUUAUUCUCCGUGUAUACCUGUAUGUGCCCCAAGAUCUGUCUUUUAUUUGUAACCGGUGAUUUUCAAAUUCGGUCUGAAUUCCUUAACCAUUUAAUAUAUUCUGCCUGAUAGAGGUGUAGAGGUCUUUUCCAUUCAGAACUUAUGAACUGUAAUGUUCAUAUCUAUCCAAACGCAGUCUGGUGUUUUUAUCACUCCCCUGUCUCGCAUUCUUUCAUAAAGAUUCAUCUUACGGGACAUGGACGCUGUGUUCAAUCAAUCCCCUUAUUCACCAUUCCAGAAUGAGUACAUGAUGUUAACACUUGUCAUUCCAUGUCCUAGCAUACCUCUUCAGAGCUUCAUUAGGACGCAAUCCUGACAUGCCACGAGAUACAUCAAGUCUUGGGGGCACAGCAAUCCUGAUAUUCCACGAUUUGCAUCAAGUCUCGGGGCAGAGAGAAUGGGAAGAAUUGGGUUGAUUGAGUUGGCGCAUGGAUACCAGUGCUUGG